UCCCGCUGCCCUCUAUGGGCGUUUCCUCCCUAGACUUCGGGCCGCUCCUCCGGGAGUGGCCUUUUUUCUGGGUUGC
rnacentral:sRNA from 1 species